GGCGCGGUGGCAGAGUUGGUUAUUGCGUAAGACUAGAAUUAUCAUGUUUCAAAUCUUAUUCCUUCGGGAGCGCAGGUUCGAAUCCUGUCCGCGUCG